ACAACACCCGCCUUGUCACCCGCCUUAUAUCCUCAUCCCUCCCCUACGUGGGGCUGCCGGGUGUAGGAGCGGCAGCCAGGGGGCUCACGCAGGACCAGGCAGAGAGCGCCCAGUUCUAGACUGGGACAGGGAAGGUGCGCAGUCUGAUCGGGCUUAGCUGUGCUGGCCCUGUGCCCCACUCCUGUUCAGUGACCGUGGGAGUCCCCGUGUCAGAACGCCAGGUCUGACUGAUGCUGAAGGUGCCAGGUGGCUGCCUGAAAGAUUGGUCCGUUUUGCAGGAAAUUUUCCUGCCCCUUGGGAUGAUCCCGACAACUGUCCUGCUGAUAAAUCUAAUGGUGACGCUUAAUGAGAAGGUUUAUUGGACUUAUGUACCUGAUCCACCUGUUGUACAUCCAACGAGCUGAAAAAAUGGACAAGUAAUGGUAUGGGUGAACAAUACCAGGCUGUUGCAUGAGCCGGCGGCCCCUGACAAGAACAAGUUCCGAUUGUUCAACUAUACGGGAUCAGAAACUGGAACCCCCAUAUGUUUCUUCAAAAUCAACAGAACUGAUUGUAUAAGACUGAGCGCUUGCACCCUGACAGGAAGGCAGGUAGAUCAGUGCAAAGGCGGGAUCACUGGAGUCCAUCUACAUCUACCUGUGGGUAUGGAGACCACUGGUGUAGUGCCUCAGACUUUUAAUGCUCCAAUAAGACUAUUCCAUGGAAGAGAUGUGUGGCGGAUGCCUCCGUGAGAUAUAAUAUUACUGGACUUGAUACUUAUGUUUUGGACUGGUCUGAAAAUUCUUGUCAUCCCAAAAGAAAUGUCAUUGCAUGUGUCAUGUGCUCUUAUGUAUUGCUUGUAAGAAAUAUUAGUGUUCAGAAAAGUUAUGAUUAUUAUAGUGAAAUUUACUUCAAUUGUCAAAUAAGCAAUUGUGUCACCCGAACAGAAAAUCAGAUAAUGGUUUUGCGAAUGCGUUUUUAGAUUUGGAUCUUAUAGAUCUCCAAAAUGCAGAACCCCUAAAAUUUGAUGCAGCCCAGGCUGCACAGGAUUUUAUCGAACAAAUUAGAAAAGUUCUGCCAUCUACAUCUGCAUUUACGUGGUAACUCAUUUCCAUAGUAAUUAUUGGAGGAGGGCUGCCUCUUAGAUGCAUGAUCCUUCCGGUGCUACUGCAGAUGUUUGUGCAUUCUUUAAUGAGGAUGGCUGGAAGUAUUCAUGGUCUAUAAUUACAUGCUACAUCGCCUAAACCCAUGGUGUAAUUCCCUGCAGAGGCUGAUAGUCAAUGACGGUUAAGAGGAGUAUAGGAAAUCACCAACCUAAGACAAAGCAAGAACACUGUGAUGCUCUUGACUCCAUGACAGGUAAGGGAUUUCUUUAUAUUCCUCGCCUAAGACAGGCACAGUCUAUCUGCGUGAUCAAGGGACCUUGAUCAUAAUAUAUAAAACAGGGGGAGAUGUGGAGAGCAGUGUGUGGAGAGCGGUGUUAGCCAAAGAGGCUCCAUUUUGAAUCUUACCCUCCAUUGUAUAGAGCAAGGAGACUAUGUUAUGAGGAACCACGUUCUUGCCAAAUUAGAUUGCCCUGGAACGUGAUGAACGUUCUGUAACCCUGAGAAACAAGGAAGCCCAUGAGGGUGGGGAAUUCCCAAAGAACUAGCAAACAAGGAAGCAGGUGUCUCUGGAUAAGGGUCAUGAUUAACAACCAAACUCACCUGCUGUAUAAAAGAGAGGAGAAAAAUAAACUUGGG
ensembl:lncRNA